rnacentral:sRNA from 1 species
AUGUACCCACGUACACUCCGGUUCCUGCGCGCCGCCCGCACCCGCCAGCCAAUCGCUCGCGACGGGCAGCG